AGUGGCGAACGGGUGAGUAAUGCAUCGGAACGUGCCCAGUCGUGGGGGAUAACGCAGCGAAAGCUGCGCUAAUACCGCAUACGAUCUAUGGAUGAAAGCGGGGGACCGUAAGGCCUCGCGCGAUUGGAGCGGCCGAUGUCAGAUUAGGUAGUUGGUGGGGUAAAGGCUCACCAAGCCAACGAUCUGUAGCUGGUCUGAGAGGACGACCAGCCACACUGGAACUGAGACACGGUCCAGACUCCUACGGGAGGCAGCAGUGGGGAAUUUUGGACAAUGGGCGCAAGCCUGAUCCAGCAAUGCCGCGUGCAGGAAGAAGGCCUUCGGGUUGUAAACUGCUUUUGUACGGAACGAAACGGUCCUGGUUAAUACCUGGGGCUAAUGACGGUACCGUAAGAAUAAGCACCGGCUAACUACGUGCCAGCAGCCGCGGUAAUACGUAGGGUGCAAGCGUUAAUCGGAAUUACUGGGCGUAAAGCGUGCGCAGGCGGUUUUGUAAGACAGUCGUGAAAUCCCCGGGCUCAACCUGGGAAUUGCGAUUGUGACUGCAAAGCUGGAGUGCGGCAGAGGGGGAUGGAAUUCCGCGUGUAGCAGUGAAAUGCGUAGAUAUGCGGAGGAACACCGAUGGCGAAGGCAAUCCCCUGGGCCUGCACUGACGCUCAUGCACGAAAGCGUGGG
rnacentral:rRNA from 1 species